GGAGAUGAAUUUGCAAGUAACUUCGCGCUGUUUGACAUGUCCUUGAGCUGAAGCAGCGUGGCAGUAAAAAACAGACACAGGAGCGUGGGAAUGUCAAGAAUGAAUUAAGUAAGCUAAAACAAAUGAGGUAGCGCAAAUAGAACAGCCUAUUAGAAUGUAGCAUAAGGCGUGUGCUUAGAGCUAGCUGACAAAUAACAGAACCUGUUUGUGCGCAUGAUCGCGUGGAGAAUGUGUUGAAAAGAUAUAUAAGCAGUGAAAAGCUGACAAUAAAGGUCUUCUGCGGAACAUCUGUCAGGAGUCCGUGACAUUCAUCCCUGCAAAUGGUGACCAUGAUGUGGGAGAGCAACGCUGAGGAGCAGCGUCUGCAGGGACCCCAGCCGGAUGAAUCAAGCUGAUGGCAGGACCGCAGCUUUAAUCCCGGGACAUCACCUUAAUAUUACAGUUGCAUGUUAUAGGAAUUACUACAGCAGGAACCACUUGAACCAAUGGAGGACAAGCCUUUCAAGGAGCAGUGCAAGUGCAGCAGUGACCCGAUCCGAGCUGGUUUUGGUGCCCAGUAACUCCACGCAACACACCACCUCUCCUGUUCUGAGUGACCACAAGAACAGAUGGAGCCCAGCGCCGUGGACUAAAUGAUAUCCGUGUAUUUUAUCAAAGGAUGGGAAGGGGGGUGGACGUUAAUGACGUUGCAUUGGAUAACGUGGAACCUGAGCAUGAUGUAAAUGGUAUGGAAUAAGGGGUGGAUACUGUCCUGGUUUCAGCUGCGAUAGAGUUAAAUUUCUUUGUAGUAGCUAGUAUGAGAUUAUGUAUUUAACAAUAUUGGUGGCAAAUAUUUGAUAAAUAGUUUACAUCUGUUAGACUGUCUUUUUGUAUGUGAACAGCAAUGCAUAACUCAUCUUCCUAGAACUGCAGAACAUUCAUUAAAUGGAAAAAUUAAAAUUAUUUGGGUGCUUAAGGCUACUGGCAGUUCAAAUAGGUGUAAAAUUAGGGCUUUUCCUUAAAGCUGAUAUUUCUGGCUGUGAUCUAAUACUGCACCAGAAUACUAGAAUAACUCUAUUUACAUAUCUUUGGCAAAAUAAUAAAACACCCCAGAAGUGA